ACAGGUAGUACAACUGUGACAGCGAACAAAUUUUACAGUCUUGCCCUCGUGAAGCGCACGGUCGGUUGUGCUCCUAUACCGUAUUUCGCUUAUAUUCGAUCCAUUCGUACGUUUCGUAGACACCGCAGCAUCACCGUGAGCUGAUGUAUAGGUUAGGUUAGGUUAAAAACACUUUCACUUCCACUCUGUUAUUUACAUGUGCUUUUGACGUUUUAAACCCCCAUCGAAAACUCUUCAAUCUAAAAAUAACGGAUAGUUUAUUAUCAAAUAUGACAAGAGUAAUAGUUGAUCUGAACCAACUCUGCCCAUCUCACUAUUGUGAACAAUUGUUGUGUCAUUAUGUAAAAUAGAUAUUUGAAUAAAGAGUUCAAAUAAAGGGAAAAAAUCGAGAAUGGAUGAAGACGAUAUUUCUGUACGAGUCGGGGUCAGUUGUAUUAGGUUUCAGCACUGGAGACGUUUUGGAAGAGACCUGUUUUCAAGAAAAUAAGUCACGUAGUGUGGCAGUUUGUGGAGGCUUUUGCCAGUUAGGAAUAUUUUGGACGACCGGUGAUUUCAACUCGAGCUCCGUGAUAUCCAUUCUUAUUGGCGAGUUUGUAGAAAGAGGGGAGAUGUGCCACAUAGUGGAUGAUUUUUAGAUUGUUACAUCACGCGAAAGAUUUGGAUUUUUGAACAAUUCGUGCAAAAUAAUUAAAAAGUGUUGAUCACUGUUUCUUUAAGAAGUUUGUUCAUGCCAUUUAAGAUUAAGUGUAGAUUGUUGAUUCUCGAG